CCUACGGGGGGCAGCAGUGAGGAAUAUUGGUCAAUGGGCGAGAGCCUGAACCAGCCAAGUAGCGUGAAGGAUGAAGGCUCUAUGGGUCGUAAACUUCUUUUAUAUGGGAAUAAAGUUUUCCACGUGUGGAAUUUUGUAUGUACCAUAUGAAUAAGGAUCGGCUAACUCCGUGCCAGCAGCCGCGGUAAUACGGAGGAUCCGAGCGUUAUCCGGAUUUAUUGGGUUUAAAGGGUGCGUAGGCGGCCUUUUAAGUCAGCGGUGAAAGUCUGUGGCUCAACCAUAGAAUUGCCGUUGAAACUGGGGGGCUUGAGUAUGUUUGAGGCAGGCGGAAUGCGUGGUGUAGCGGUGAAAUGCUUAGAUAUCACGAAGAACUCCGAUUGCGAAGGCAGCUCACUAGACUGUUACUGACACUGAUGCUCGAAAG
rnacentral:rRNA from 1 species